GUACGGUUUAUAAAGCUCAAACGCUCACGAACACGCACCCAAACGAUUUGGAGACAUCAAGUUUCCCUUAAAAGUGAGGAUGCUCGGCGUAAAAGUGGGCGAAAAGUUUGCACGAAACGGGUUUGGGAAGAGGACUACUUUUUGUGACGGUGCGGCGAAUUUAUUUCACUUUGCCUAAGGAACGGCUGUAGUGCGACUCCCAUUGCCUAGGGAAAAACCCGGAUGUAAACUCGGCGAAACUCAUCUGGAGAGAAGUGGCAACCGAACUCAAUCCAACUCAUGCACAAGAAUUAUUUGCAUUUUAUCCAAACAUGGAGAUGCUGUGAAAUGAGGCCUGGCUGCUGGAAUGCUGUUUCCUGAAAGUUUCGCCAGAGGCUUUUAUUAAAUACCAAGCUCUGAAUACGAUGAACAGGCCUACGAUUGGCGUCCAACUUGCCUUAUGCAUGUGUACAGAAGAACACAAUGCUCUUCAAAGAGUGGAAAUUCAAUUUGAAUGGAAGAUCCCAGAUUUUCAUUAUGGACAUUAUUGCAUGGAUGCUACUCUCAGGCAG